UACGUAGGGGGCGAGCGUUGUCCGGAUUCAUUGGGCGUAAAGCGCUUUAAGGCGGUUCGGUAAGUCGGGUGUGAAACCUCCAGGCUCAACCUGGAGACGCCACUCGAUACUGCUGUGACUAGAGUUCGGUAGGGGAUCACGGAAUUCCUGGUGUAGCGGUGAAAUGCGCAGAUAUCAGGAGGAACACCGGUGGCGAAGGCGGUGAUCUGGGCCGACACUGACGCUGUAGAGCGAAAGCGUGGGGAGCAAACAGG
rnacentral:rRNA from 1 species